rnacentral:lncRNA from 1 species
CAGCCAGUUGUUUGGUGUCGGGAGCAUGGAAGAACUCUGAUAGAACCCCAAGGUGAUUGCACCAUGAUUUUCUCCCGAAUGUGAAACUUGAAGUUGUGGAUAAGCGAAACCCCAGG